rnacentral:tRNA from 1 species
GGGCCUUUAGCUCAGUUGGUAGAGCAGUGGACUUUUAAUCCAUGGGUCGAGGGUUCGAGCCCCUCAGGGCCCA